rnacentral:rRNA from 1 species
GACGAACGCUGGCGGCGUGCCUAAUACAUGCCAGUAGAACGCUGAAGGAGGAGCUUGCUCUUCUGGAUGAGUUGCGAACGGGUGAGUAACGCGUAGGUAACCUGCCUGGUAGCGGGGGAUAACUAUUGGAAACGAUAGCUAAUACCGCAUAACAGUAGAUGUUGCAUGGCAUUUGCUUAAAAGGUGCAAUUGCACCACUACCAGAUGGACCUGCGUUGUAUUAGCUAGUUGGUGGGGUAACGGCUCACCAAGGCGACGAUACAUAGCCGACCUGAGAGGGUGAUCGGCCACACUGGGACUGAGACACGGCCCAGACUCCUACGGGAGGCAGCAGUAGGGAAUCUUCGGCAAUGGACGGAAGUCUGACCGAGCAACGCCGCGUGAGUGAAGAAGGUUUUCGGAUCGUAAAGCUCUGUUGUAAGAGAAGAACGAGUGUGAGAGUGGAAAGUUCACACUGUGACGGUAUCUUACCAGAAAGGGACGGCUAACUACGUG